GUCUACAGCCAUACCACCCUGGCUGCACCUGAUUUGAUCUGAUCUCAGAAGCUAAGCAGGAUCAAUGGGCCUGGUUAGUACUUGGAUGGGGGAAACCCCCUAGGGACUGUCUUUC
rnacentral:rRNA from 1 species